rnacentral:lncRNA from 1 species
CUGUGCCAUAUGGAUUGCGAUAUAAUGAUUGCAGUCCCUGUCUGGGAUCUGGCUGUUGCUCCAUGAAAGAUUAACAUCUCCGAGAUCUGUGUCUAAUACAUAAAUUAUUCACGGAACUAUGUCACAUAAAGCUGCUUCUCUUGACUAAUAGAAAGCAAGAAAUCAACUGUUCAUUGAGAACUGCCACAUAAGUAAUGCUGCAAAUGCUGGAAUGAACAAUAUUCUACCUUCUCUGUUGAGCACUAUACUACAGAUCUUGACAGUUUUGAUCCUGGAUGAGCAGUCACCUAACGCUUGAACACAAAGUGAAAUAUUUUCAGGAGGCUGGGCUGAGAUAGCCUCAUUCCUGGUGCCCAACAUGGAAUAUGUAUGCUGCUUGUAGAAGGUAAAAUAUUUUAAAUCCUCUUAGAGAACAGAAUUAA